rnacentral:rRNA from 1 species
AUGAACGCUGGCGGCGUGCCUAAUACAUGCAAGUCGAGCGAACAGAUGAGGAGCUUGCUCCUCUGACGUUAGCGGCGGACGGGUGAGUAACACGUGGAUAACCUACCUAUAAGACUGGGAUAACUUCGGGAAACCGGAGCUAAUACCGGAUAAUAUAUUGAACCGCAUGGUUCAAUAGUGAAAGACGGUUUUGCUGUCACUUAUAGAUGGAUCCGCGCCGCAUUAGCUAGUUGGUAAGGUAACGGCUUACCAAGGCAACGAUGCGUAGCCGACCUGAGAGGGUGAUCGGCCACACUGGAACUGAGACACGGUCCAGACUCCUACGGGAGGCAGCAGUAGGGAAGCUUCCGCAAUGGGCGAAAGCCUGACGGAGCAACGCCGCGUGAGUGAUGAAGGUCUUCGGAUCGUAAAACUCUGUUAUUAGGGAAGAACAAAUGUGUAAGUAACUAUGCACGUCUUGACGGUACCUAAUCAGAAAGCCACGGCUAACUACGUG